UACGUAGGGUGCAAGCGUUAAUCGGAAUUACUGGGCGUAAAGCGUGCGCAGGCGGUUUUGUAAGUCAGAUGUGAAAAUCCCCCGGGCUUAACCUGGGAACUGCGUUUGAAACUACAAGGCUAGAGUGUGGCAGAGGGGGGGUGGAAUUCCGACGUGUAGCAGUGAAAUGCGUAGAGAUGUGGAGGAACACCGAUGGCGAAGGCAGCCCCCCUGGGUUAACACUGACGCUCAGGCACGAAAGCGUGGGGAGCAAACAGG
rnacentral:rRNA from 1 species